CCGAAUGGCAAAAACAUCAUUACAAAUUACAAUAUAACAAUCCACGCUGGUCUAGUCUGGACUGAGGGCUUUUUUUGAUAUCGAUCACAUGAGUGAUAAAAAACGCCGCACAGUGGAUCAGCAACCAAUCGCACAUCCUCGCCGAUCAUUUUGAUGGCAAGUCAAAGAAACAUGCAAUGUCGAUAAAUUCUAAAACCAUAGCCCGGUCGCUGGCUGUUGAAAAAUCAAUCGACGCGAGGACGAAUUUGAGAAACAGAAAUGCUAGGGGAUGGCAGAGAGACUCCUUCCAGAGAAUACGAGGAUAUGAUUUCAAUGAUAAUGUGGAUAGUACUGCUCCUUACUUUGUACGCAGUUGGGCACCUAAGGUAAAGAAGCAGCAUACAAUCGUGCCUUGGCUUGAUUUUGCUUGAGGGAAAGUUGUUGGUUGUUUGUGGCCUUCUGCCCACAGCACGCUCAAGUAUAUGUUGGAUAAUUUAGCCAGUGAAAGUUCAGCGGAUGUGGAUUGGAGGCCCUCGUUUUACUUGAAUUUGAUUGCACAUUCAUCAUACACAGCAACUGUGGCAAUUUGCAGUCAACAAGUCCUUCGAAAUCAUCAAGCUGGUUAAGAUACACAGUUGUCUCCUAUAUAUAAGCUGGCAAGUCUUGAUUUGGGAGUCUUCUUGGUCAAUCCCCUGGGAAAACAGACAGACUCCACAUGAAAGGUCCAGGAGGACGGGGGGAAGUUGAAGUAGCUGUUUCUGGUGUUGCAGAUCAAAGCCAGCACGAUGUUGGCCCCCUUUCACCUGUUAGUUCAAAGAAAGGAUUUGGGAUUGGCUCAGUUUUUUUAAAAGCAGCAUCUGUGGCAGCAAAGCAUGAUCUUCUGAUGACGAGAUGUUGCCCCUCAAAUGCUGCUUAAUGUCCAUAUCAUUGCCCUGGGAAUAUAUCGUUUAUGAUCUUUUAUUCAAGGUAAAAUCACUGUUUUUGCUUCUGUAUUCCUCAAUGAAGAUAGGUUCAAUUUUGGAUUGUGGUAUUGUAUUACUCUUUACUAGAAGCUUCUUUAUUUCUAUCAUCUUUCUCAUUUUGCUAUUAGCUGUGCCAAUUGGUAAGCUUAAACUCAGUGUUGCAAUUUUAAGAUAUGAACAUUAUCUUUCCAUGUUCA